AACUAAUAAUAUAAUAUGCAAAGACAAUUGAUAUGAAUAAUGCAAAAGGAAGAAAUGGUCUGGACUUGGAACCUUGAGGGUUACAUCAAAUGGUAAUUUGUAAGAGCAGGAGUAGAGGAAGGCCCAACGGUCACGGGAGUUUCUAGAGAAAAGAGUAGAAGGUUGUAGAAAAAAGGAAGCAUAGCUGGCACAGAUUGGUUAUAGCAGAAUAGCAUGUGUAGGGGCAUCUAUAUAUAGAGGGUAAAUGGUAGAAGAAGGGCAUGUAGAGAUCCUUUUUGUUGAAUUGAAGCUAUAAGUUAAGCUCUCACGGAAUUGGGUUCUUGGGGUUGCUUGCCAACCAUUUUAUCUUCUUCGUUGUUUUGUUUAUUUUAAUAGUGUUGUUACCAUUAGAGAAUUGUUGAGUAAGAGAGUGUCAUUGUAACUGAUAUAGUUCUCUGUAAUCGAAAAUUUUGCCAUUUCUUUUUAAUACAAGCUCAUAUAUUCUCUCAUAAUCAAUCGCUUUACAUUUCUUAUGUUCUUAACCCUAUCAAAUUAGUCUGAUCUGCCGGAUCCAAAAAUCAGAAGAGAGAAUCGCAUAGUGAGGAUAGAGAGGAACUUGGUUGAGGAAAAAAAAAAACCACCCAUGGGAGACAAGAUAUUGCAGCAAUCAGAGAGGAUUGAAGGGAAAGUUAGGCAGCUCACAGACAGGGAAGGAGGGGGUAACCAUCUCAUCCCAACACCCAACAUCCACAACCCAUUUAUCAAAAAUUCACAAAACACAGCAAACAAGGCUCAAUAAUGGAGUAUGUCGACGGGUUCAACUAAAAGAUAGCACUGGUACCUGAACUAUCCCACGCCUACUGUUUGGGUUAUUCUGUUAGGGAAUUGCA
rnacentral:misc_RNA from 1 species